rnacentral:rRNA from 1 species
GACGACCGCUGGCGGCGUGCUUAACACAUGCAAGUCGAACGGAAAGGCCCUGCUUUUGUGGGGUGCUCGAGUGGCGAACGGGUGAGUAACACGUGAGUAACCUGCCCUUGACUUUGGGAUAACUUCAGGAAACUGGGGCUAAUACCGGAUAGGAGCUCCUGCUGCAUGGUGGGGGUUGGAAAGUUUCGGCGGUUGGGGAUGGACUCGCGGCUUAUCGGCUUGUUGGUGGGGUAGUGGCUUACCAAGGCUUUGACGGGUAGCCGGCCUGAGAGGGUGACCGGCCACAUUGGGACUGAGAUACGGCCCAGACUCCUACGGGAGGCAGCAGUGGGGAAUAUUGCACAAUGGGCGGAAGCCUGAUGCAGCAACGCCGCGUGCGGGAUGACGGCCUUCGGGUUGUAAACCGCUUUCGCCUGUGACGAAGCGUGAGUGACGGUAAUGGGUAAAGAAGCACCGGCUAACUACGUG